AUAGGAGGUAGUCCGAAGGACUAGCUUACUUACCAUGUGUGAACUGUAUUCAUGACUGCUGUGUGCCAGUCAGUGGGUAGUACUAGCUGAGGUGGUCUUGAGGAGGGUCUGUAGAGACCUGAGCCUUGACUGUCUUUGCAAAGACUGCCCACCCCGGCACACACACCAUUACGUAUACCCUGUAUGUCCUAAAACACCCCAGAUAGAGGUAUCAAGCAACCUAGUGUUGAAUUUGCA
rnacentral:misc_RNA from 1 species